CUAGCAUUGUCACAGCUGUUAGCGGUGAGGACCGUGGUGACGGUGACACGGACGAAGGGGGCGUGGCAGCCGGGGGCCUUGGAUGUGCCUGUGGACGGAAGCUUCCGGCAACUCAGUCUCCCAGAGCCCUUGAGGACCCCGCAGGUGGCCAUUCGCCUGGAGUCUCCUUUCCUCAUCAAGACAAGAAGCCAGGGCUGUGGCUGCGCUCUGGUGGGCGUUUCUCCCAGCCGCCUUCCUUUUGGGCCCCUCUUGCCCUCAUGGCCAGUGAGUUCCAGCUUCUGGUGGGUCAGAGAUGGUGAGACGAGGUGUCCUUUGCUGCUGGUCUGCCUGUCUGCCCAGCCUUGGAGAUGGCCCGCCUGUUCAGAGCCGUACGGAGCACACCUGUGCAGCAAGAUGUUCGUGGUCCACCCUGCCGCAGGUGGGGGAAGGGGGCUCUGUCCUUGGGUUCCCUGUGUGUGGCAAUGGGAAUCCCCACAGAUCCUGGAGGCUUUAGAUCUUGUUAAUUAAACCCUUUUGGGUUUCUUCUUUCUGAG